GUCUAUUUGUAAAACCAAAAUUUUAUUUUGGUUGACUUUUGGAAUUUAUGCCUACUUAAAUGCAUGUAAUGAUAUAAAAAUGAUUCAAAUGUCAUGAUGAAUGAAUCAGUUUAUUGAUCUAGGGGGAAAUUAGGAUAUGAAAUUAGUCUCUUGCUUAUUUGUUCUUACUUUGUUUCCUUUGUGUGCUUUUUUAUUUAUGCUUUAGUUUCCAUCUUGUACCCCAAUAUGCUUCGAAUUAAAUGUAAUUUUUUCUUUUCCCUUUCUAAAUGUCUAUGUAAUCUACGUGCUUGUAUCUUUAAAUUUACAUUUUGCAUCUUUAUCCGUCAUUUUAAUUAUGACAAAGGGGAAUAUCCAUACUCUCAAGAGAGUAGAGUAUACUAUCUACUCAUGUGAUGGGGCGUAACACUCAAAUUUUAUCUAUAUGUAUUUUCCUUUACUACCUCCCCAAGAUAUGUGUUGUCAUCAUCAAAGAGAGGGAGAAUGUGGAACUAUGUGCUUGCAGGUUUAAUCACGAAGUGAUCAAAGAUAAGCAAGAUAUCCAUAGACCCGUCAACACCAUGGUUUUGAUGAUGACCACUCAAACUUUGAAGAUGAAUUUGAUGACAACUCAUGAAGAUGACUUUGAUGACAACAACACAUAAAGAAAAUCAAGUGCUAAAAUAGUUUCAAGCGAUCAAAGAUUCAUAAGAUAGUUGAUCAAGCUCUUCCGUCGAAUAAUUCCAAUGAGUAAGGGUUAAAUGAUCAUUGUUAUAUACUCUGAUGAUGACAUCCGACUUCAAGAUAUUUUAAGCCUCAUAUACAAGAAGAAUUAAGUGAUGUUAUUAUAUGAUUGGUGUAUACGGUAAAAGGCUUAAAGCUUUAGCGUGUGAAAGAGAGAAAGUGUGAAAGCUACCUUAAUCGUGUCAGAGUGACCAAUGUUAUGUAAAAACACAAGGAUGUUCUCGUAUAUAAUAUGAAUGAAUUACACACUCUAAAAAUAUUUUUGAAGCCUCUAUUUUUUAAAAUACAAACACCUAAAUUAUUUUUAAGCUUAUCUAGAUGAGUCUGAAACCGUCAGAAUGAUUAACACAUGUUUUUUGACUUGUCUAAUCGAUUAGACCAUAUACCCAAUCCAUUAGAUAAGGGUAUAAUGAGUCUACAAUCGAUUAUGAAAGUGCAUUAAUGAUGGGAAACAACUUUCUAUUUAAAACUUCCAAAAUGGGUUCAAACAAUCGAUUAUUUAUGUCAUCUAAUCGAUUAGGUUAAAGACCUAAUCAAUUAGGUAAUUAAUUUAGCCCAUGAAUCGUUUCCUUUUUUGAACCAUCAUUUAUCCUAUAAAUAGAGGAAUUACCUUUAACUUUUCCACAUCCAUAAUAGUGAUUUAUCUUACCUUCGUCCUUCUUUCUCUCUCACUAAAAUAGUUUCUCUUUCUCUCACAUAAUUUUAGCCAUAGUGCUUUGAGAAAUGUUUAUGUGUUUAAGUGAGAGAUUUGUUAUAUAAAGGUUAAUGUUUUAAAUUUUAACAAGAGUUCUUUUUCCUCUUGAGUGAAUCUUUAUUCCUUAGGAUUUUUUUGUUUGGGUUUGAAGUUAAAUCCAUUAAAAGCUCGUUUAGGGGAUUAAUGUUAAGUCUCUGUUAGGUUCAUGAGUUCAACCACUUAAGGAAAAACUCUAUUUCUUGGUUCUUGAAGAUAACCAGUGAAGAAUAUUUGUAUUGUUUCAUGAGCUAUUCCCGGUGUAAAAUCUCAAUUGGUUCGAGAUUAGUCUGAUGUAAAAUCUCGGUUUGGUUCGUGGUUAGCCCAUGUAAAACCUUGAUUCAAUUUGGAAGAUAGACAAUUCAAAACUCCGCCUUGGUUCAAGAUAAGUCCAUACAAAAUUUUGGUUUUGCUUAGAGACUAACCGCUUGAAGUUUUGUUUGUUGUUUGACAUGAAUACUAACUUCUUCAUUCCAUUGUUCGUUGUUUGACAUGAAUACUAACUUCUUCAUUCCAUUGUUCGUUGUUUGGUUGGAAGUAAACCUGAAACUUCACAUUUUCUUGUACUAGGGGGUUCAUGAGUCUAACCUUCUAAAAUUUUAUAAGCAUCAUUGGAAACUAAGGAUUAAUUCUUAGGGAGAGGAGUAGGUCACGUCUUUAUACCGAACCUCGAUAAAUCUCAGUUGUCGUCUCUUUUUCCUUAACUCUUUAUUUUUUGCUUAUUGUUUUUACAUUAUUUUUCCACUGCAUAUUCAAACGUUUCAUUUGAAAACGUUUUAAAACUCUAAUUCAUAAAAUAUUUUUGUUUUAAAAUAUUUUUUUUAAAACUCCCACAAUUCAUCCCUCAUCUUGUGUGUGAAGUCGCAUGUUCAACAAAAACCUCUAAUAGACCUACAAUAUAAGGGGUUGUCAUAUAUUAUACUUUUAUAAAGUAUAAUUGGCGCCUACCGUAGGGCUCGGUAAAGUUGAUUUGAGCCACAAUUACAACAUUCAACUAGAUUGCUAUCCUCAUGUUCAACUCCUUUGAAAUUCAUGGUGAACAAGAUUGUAGCAACUCCAACCAACAAUGAGUCCGACAACAAGGUGAAUGCCAUGGCAGAGAUGUGUGUUGCCAUGGAUGACUUAUGCCGCUAAAAUCAAACUUUGGAGGAAAACAUUCUCCGAAUCCAACAAUUCUAGGAGGAUGUCGACCCUCUAGAAUAAAUUGAAAACUCCUACUUGAGCUUGUGAAGCCUAUACACGACUGAUCCAAAAUUAUUUACUGUUACAAUUGCACUGCAUUUAACUUCUUGGUGUUUCUAUAUGUCAGUUUCUGUGCUGAUUUGGACAAAUGGUUCUGUCCAAGAACUCAUGACGAGAUUUUAUGUUACAAGUGGUCAUAAUUGUUUUCCUUAUGCUCCAAGCUUUAAUGUCAAAGUACAUUAGGAUGGUGAACACCAGAUACUUUUAGAAUAUUAUAAGUAUGAAAUUGCUUUUAAGUUGUGCUCUCAUUCAUGAAAAAUAUUAUAAUUUUAAUUUUUGUAAUCAAAUCGAUGCUUAAUUAUCAACAAUUAUGAUAAAUAUUAUAGUUUUAAUUUUUUUUAAUUACACCAAUGCUUAUUUAUCAACAAUUAUGAUAAUGUUUAAGAUGGAUACUUUUUUAUAAUUUAUAGUCUAAUUAGUUUUGAUUAGAAAAUUAAAAAUCUUAUCUAACUUACCUAGUUUUGAUUAGAAAAUUUUAAAAAAUUAUCUAGCCAAAUUUAGCUUGAGAUUCACUAUGAUACUUUUGAGGCGAUAUUGUAGCUGAGUAGUUUGGAAACAUAAAAGUAAAACUGAUAAUUUGCUACGUUUUAGUUAUUGUUUAGCUAUGAAAUGUUAGAAAACUCUAGCUAAUUAGCCAUCCAAUCCAAACUAUGGAAUAUAAUUUUUUUAGAGAUUCACUUCAAAUUCGCUACGGUUUUAAUCGUAGCUAAUCACAGAUCUUCUUGUAGUGUUCUUCUUACACAUUCACAUCUUGAAGAAAUACACUUCCGUUUUAAAGGUCUAUAACAUACUUUGUUGAAACAAUCUUUAUCAGUUUCGCAAGGGGAUGCAAAAUCUACGAUGUCAAAUAAAAAUAAAAGAUUGUUGCUAAGAAAUGAUUAAAUAGUGUGCAUAUGUUAUAAAAGAAAAUUUGAAAAUGGUAGUGAAGAAAUGACCUACAGUUGUGAGGUGUUGUACGCCAUAAGGGUUUUGCAGCUUUGGCUUCUACAAGAAACAAACAAAGAGAUACUAUCAAAUAAUAAACACAUUUGAGAAUUUGACUCAUAUUUUUCCUCCUUUAGUUAAUCAUUUUAAAGUUUGUAAUUAACUUAUAUAAGUAAAAAUUAAUACUACCUCCGUUUUUUUGUCAGUUGUUUUGAAAAACUAUUUUGUACUACAAUAUAAGUCGUUUUAUAAUAUCAAUGAAUCAUUAAUGUUAUUUUUCCUAUUAUACCGAUAAAUAUUUAUUAUUCUCUCUCUUUUCAAUUAUGUCAAUUUAUACUUUCAAUAUCAUUAAUGAAGGACAAUUUUGUAAAACCCUUCAUAGUUUCUCUUUUUUAUACCAUAAUUAUU
rnacentral:lncRNA from 1 species